ACAAUAUCGCCCUCCAACGCUACUCACUUCUCACGUAAGUCAGUCUUAGAGUGUAUCUCUUAGGUUCAUCAAUCAAGCGUGAGUGAGUGCAGCGGAUUUUGUUUGGUUGGGGUUCCGUUCGAUUCGAUUCGAGUCGAGUCGAUAGAUCGGACUCGAUCGGAUUCAAUUCGAUGUGAUGUGAUAGGUCAUUUGCAUAAAUAAAGAAGUGCGUCAUUUCCGUUCGAUUGGGUCAUUUCUGAGUUACGAAAAAUCGAUUUCCGAUUAUUUCCUCCCGCCAUUGAUGGAAUUUACUGUUGGUCUGUUCAAAAAUUCAAAUGAUUCGAACUAAAAAUCAGAUUUUGGUGAACAUGUGUUGUGAAAAUUGUGUGUGUGGUGUGUGGUGAGUGGUGACAUUAGGAGGAGGAAGCAAGGCAAAGCAAAGAAAAGCAAAGCGAUUCAAUCCGAAGAAAUACAAACAGAAAGAAGAAAUUCUAUACAGAAGUCCCAAGACUGUCGAUUCAAUGAUGAUGAUGAUGAGGCUGCAGGACCAGCAACAGCAGAAAUAUCACUUGAUGAACAUUGACAGAAAACCUAACCUUGAGACCCCUUCAUUCGGCAGAAAACAACACAUUCAACAAAAAUACAUCAAAAAAAAAAACACGCACCUUAAGGAAAAAUAAGAAUCUGCUGGAUAAUCUUUUAUUCUCAAAAUGAGAGACACCCGAAAGACUGACUAAAAACUAAAAUUUAAUUAAUAAUUUAUUAAAUAAAAACAAACAGUAUACUAACAAUUUUGUUUUAUUCUGCCAAUUCAUUUAGUAUUUUCAAGCUUUCUAUUUGAAG